GUUGAACGCUGGCGGCAGGCUUAACACAUGCAAGUCGAGCGGGGGAAGGUAGCUUGCUACCGGACCUAGCGGCGGACGGGUGAGUAAUGCUUAGGAAUCUGCCUGUUAGUGGGGGACAACAUCUCGAAAGGGAUGCUAAUACCGCAUACGUCCUACGGGAGAAAGCAGGGGAUCUUCGGACCUUGCGCUAAUAGAUGAGCCUAAGUCGGACUAGCUAGUUGGUGGGGUAAAGGCCUACCAAGGCGACGAUCUGUAGCGGGUCUGAGAGGAUGGUCCGCCACACUGGGACUGAGACACGGCCCAGACUCCUACGGGAGGCAGCAGUGGGGAAUAUUGGACAAUGGGGGGAACCCUGAUCCAGCCAUGCCGCGUGUGUGAAGAAGGCCUUAUGGUUGUAAAGCACUUUAAGCGAGGAGGAGGCUACUCUAGUUAAUACCUAGGGAUAGUGGACGUUACUCGCAGAAUAAGCACCGGCUAACUCUGUGCCAGCCGCCGCCGUAA
rnacentral:rRNA from 1 species